CUCUCCAGCAGCCCGGGUAGCAGGGGCAGCAGCAGCGUGAAGGCCAAGAGGUCCAGCAGCAGGCCCAGGAAGAGCACGACCACCACGCGGCGCUCGGGCGCGGGCCGCGGGCGGAUGGGCGGGCGCGGGGCGCAGCCAGCGUCCGCCCCCCACCCCAUGGCGCCCCGGGCCUGCUGCACCGACCACCGAGGCAGAAGGGCGCGCGGAAACGGACGCGGGACACCGCCCAGGCCCCGCCCCUUCCGGCGGCAGGACGCUCCGCCCCCACCGCGCUGCAGCCCGGGUUCUGGGUGACUCUGGGCGUCCUCGUGAAUCGCGCAGCGGGACAGCACCGGCGGCUUGGUCCUGUUUCCCGGCGGCCCUCCCGGAUGGGGCAGCCGGGUCAACGUCCAGAGCUCACUCAGCUUACAGGGGAUGGACUGGAGGCUGCCCAAGGGUCCCGUCUGCGCCUAGGUGGCCGCGAAGAAGGGACCAGCCCGCUCUUCUGGAUGUCGCACACCUGGCAAGCCUCCCAGAAGGAUCCCAGGCUGAAAUUGGAAAGCCAAAGGCAUUAUGGGGGCCACCUCUCAGCCAGAGCCCAGUGUCCUCGCCCCCCCACUCACACUUUGACCAGCCGAGGGGUGAACAGCUUUAGCGGGACUGGCUUGCUCUUCUCACACAGCAGUGGCCGGUAGAGCUGAUUUUGGCUUUCCACCUCUGCCAGUGUGCUCUGAAACAGCUCCUGAAAAAACGUGAAGCAGCUGUCCUGGGGCUACCUGUCUGCAGUGCGCCCUCACAGAUGGGGUCCACAGCCAAGGCAACACGGAGACAGCCCAGCGGCCUCAGCAGCCAGCCCAGCCCCACUGGAGAAAUGUGCUAUCGACACACUUUCCAUGGAAGUGCAGGGAGCACCACCUCUACUGAGGUGGUCUCGGUGCUUGGUGGAAGGUGCUAUGGGGCAGCUGGUGAAGCCACACGAGGGGACAGGUGAGGCUGCUGGGCCUUAUCUUCACCAGCACCACGGCUAGGACACUUCAACUGAGGUGCUGAGAGGCCACUGUGGGCUUCUGAGGAACCUCCUACAGGCAACUCGCCGAUGCUGGUCCUACACAGGUAUGUUCUGGAGCCCGGGCUGCUUGGCUUCCUGUGCCCAUAGCAUGGCCAUUUCUUAGCCCAACUGGACGUAACCUGAGUGCCUAGAAACCUACGUAUCCCAUCACACCCUCCUGGCUAGCCCAAAUUCUGUAAGACCAGGAGAUAAAAUUCUCUGUCAUUUAAACAUAAACACAGCCACGUCCAUAGUAAGUGGGUGUAGGUACAAACAUCUCGUCCUCAUCUGCAUCUGACAAGUUGACAUGACUUGGAGGAUGGUGACAUGGUUUGCUCUCAGCUCUCAAGACUGAGCCAGGAUUAGGACAGCCAAGCCACUGUCCUAGAGGGACAGAAUGAAGGGGCAAGCACUCAGGGGUGGUCACACUGAGGGCAAGAGGCCCAGGAAGCACAGUGGUGAUGUCGGGAGGCCUGGCAGAGGAGUGGGGGACAGCCACAUAGCUCUAAGGAUAGAGUUCCAGGCAAAGAAGACCAGAUAGGAGGAUCCCAGGCCUGUGAGGUAGGAGCACAUGAGAGCACAGGCAGGCUGCCAGGCCAGGAGGCAGCACACCACAGCGCCCAGUGCCGUGGUCAGCACUUGCCUGUUUUUGUUUGUUUAAUAUUUUUUAGCUGUACUUGGACAUAAUACCUUUAUUUUAUUUAUUUGUAUGUGGUGCUGGGGAUUGAACCCAGGGCCUCACCUGUGCUAGGCGCACGCUCUACCACUGAGCACCAGCCCCAGCCCCAGCCCCAGCCUCUGAUCUUAAUGAAAAGGGAAUGCAGUGGAGGGCCAGGGCUCAGAGGGUGACUGGCACCUCCUCCUCCAGUGGCCCCCUGGGCCAGUGCAGAAAGGCCUGUGCUGUGGGUGGCAGCAGGUGGGGACAGCAGGUGGGGCGCAGGGCAUGGAUGCACUGGAGGGUCUGUGGUGACGAGGCCCAAGUCCAUGGAGGACAGCCCUCAGGGCUGUGCAGAACAGAGGGACCACCCCAAGAACCCAUUGGGCAGCUGCAGAGUCGAGGUGCUCUUUGUGCUGCAUACCCAGCUGCAGGCCCCAGCUGGGCUCAGUGGUCUUUCAGUGCAGCCCCCUGCAGGUUCUGCCCAGUAACAGCAUGGAUCCAGACUCUGCUUGAAUCCAGCCCAGUGGUGCUCAGAGACCAGGGACAGUACGAUAUCAUUUCCCAUUCCUGUUUGAUUUUGUAAAGAUGGAGUCCUUAGCUUAAAUAGCAACCUCAAGGACAAUUAUGCGCCACUGACCCACUGCUGGCUCAUCGACACCUCAAGGACCAGGAAAGCGUACCUGGAGCUCGUGGGGGUGGCUGCAAUGCGUCAGGUGCUCUGUCAGGAGGGCCGGGAAGGGCCUGAUGAUGGCGUGGAAGGACGGCAGUGUGCCAUACAUGAGCACACAGCGUUUUAGCAGGGCCAGACACACAGCCAGGCAGGACAGUCUGCAGGAGCAGGAGACAAGGGCAGGACAUCCAUUUGUUCCAUGACAGCCAGUCACUGGGAAACCAGUACCCUGGGUGAGAAGGUCACCCUAGCCAUGCUACCAAGAAGUCAAGUGAGGGCCCUCAGCUUACCACAAGCCGGGGGCACCCAGGAACAGCUGCCUCCUUCCCACGCAGGAAGGAGGGCUGUGGGAGACACUGCCAACUGGAAAGGACGGCUCCCUUUACUUCCCAGGUUAACACUGAAACUAAGCAGGUAUGACUCGAAAAAAAUCCACAUUUUUAGGAAACUUUUUUGACAUCAACCCAAAGGGCCAUGAGAAACACACCAGCUAAAAACAAACUUUCAGGUGGUGAGUGAAAAGUGCCCAUGUCUUCCACCCUCCUGGGGUGCUGUCUGACAUACCUGGCGUGGGUGGCCUCAGCUGCAGUUGGGGAGCUCGGCCCACUUGCCCAGCGCAGGGGGAGGCUUCCCCUCUGCCAGGUGGCCACAUCUUCUGCUUCAGAGACCAAGAGCAAUUCGGAAUUCUUCCCAAGUGCUCUGAAAGGAUGCACCAGAGUAGAACCUGAAUUCCAAGCACGACAGAGAUGAUGGGAUGUUACUGACUACAGGUUGAGCCUGUAGCACCUCUGCUCCCAGGCUCCCUGGGUGGUGCCACACCUGUAGUCAACUCAAGGAGGCAGACAGCAUGGGUACAAUGCUGCCCCGGCAGAAGCUUUGGCAGGGGGUGGUCAGAGCCAUGCCUAAACCCUGUCUUGGAGGCUUGCUGGCAAUAGACUUCCUGUGGACCUACUAUGUGUGGUAUCAUAGGCUCUAGGCCUUGACCAAAGCCUUGGGAGACACAAUAAAAUCAACAGAAAGAAACCAACUAAGUAGGAAAAGGGAUAGUGAAAGAGAUGGCCAGGAGGAGAGGACAAGGUCAGGCAGUUUUCAAGUCUGGAGGGAUGUCAGCAGAGACCCAGAGGGUGUGCCGCAGUUAACCUGCCCACCACCUGGAAACACAGAUGCUGGGGGUGGGGGCAGACUGCUGCGGAGACCUGGGCAGGGCUGAGCAGAGGCAGCUGGGCAGAUGGCUGGACUGUUGUCAAUUGCCCCAGGCCAGGCCAGCUGCCCUUCCCGCCACCACUGCAAGCUUCCCAACCCUACUGCACGGCCCCGGGGUAGUUCCUGUAGCUCUUUCCAGCAGAAGUGCUGUCGUCUUCCCUCCAUUCCCCUUUUGGGGAUCACAUGGAUGGCUGUGCCUCUCUUUGCCAACACUGAGCCAGACACACAUGUGCCAGCAAUGGCCACCAGUGCCACCAGGGACCAAGGAAGCCACACGUGGGAAAGUCCUGUCAUGGAAGAAAAGCUGAGGGGCAGGCAGGAGGAAUGGAGUCCUGAUUGAGGAACUGCCUACCUAGAUACCGCUCCUACCCAGGCCCCGCAGAGGCAGCCCUGUGCUCUCUGUCAGCCUCUGGGCAUGAAGCAAGCUGGAAAUGAGAUGAGGCCAGAGCCCUAAGUCUGGAAAAGACCCAGAUGGGACAGAGACCAAGCACCCAUCACAGUUCCAGGGAGACAGCUGAGUGAGAAGUUUGCAGAAGGAAGAGUCUGCGUGAGGAAGCCCUGACCAGUGAAGGGCACUGAGGCCAGGACCAGGUUCAGAAGAUCAGCCAGUGGGAGGAAUCCUCAUCACGACCCUGCUUCGCUACUGCUCCUUCCUAAAUCCUAUGGCGAGCUAAGUGACCUAACAUAGGACGAAAGAAGAGCAAGGUGUGGGGAGGCUAAGGCAAGAGGACUAGUUUUGAGCUCAAGAGAUCAGGGCCAGCCUGGGCAACAUCCUGACACAAAAACCAAACCAAACCACCAUGCACCAGGCCCCAGGCUCCCUCCCAUGUACAACUAACCUCCCAAAUUAAGACUGAUAUUCUGUUUUGUGUGUGUGUGGAGCUGGGACUGCACCCAGGCCCUUGCAUGCUGGGCAAGCACUCUACCACGGGGCCACAUUCCCAGCCCCGUUUCUUUUCACAAUAUUAUUUCAAUGCCUAAGAGAGAAGUGUGUCAAGAUUUUUAUGUAUAUUUCUUGACACUGAGCCCUGGCUGUAUGGUGUCCUCUUCAUAGUCUCUGCUCAGACUUGCACAUGUGACCUCGGGCCUGGAAAGCACGUUUCCUCAGCAGCAAGCUGAGUGUAGGUGGGUGUGGGUGUGUGCACAUGCACACUCAGAGGAGAACAUGCUGCUCUGGGUGACAAGACUGCAGAAGUGUUUGUUUUUGUCUCUGGGGAAUUACUCUUUACAAUACAUGUCAAGGAAGUUCCCACACACCAACUCACCUUGGCUUUGUGUGUUUGGAGUUGCUAUGUAGAGAAUCCCAAGAAGAAAAUUAAUAACCUCAGGUACGAAUCUGUGAGACAGAGCCACGAACUCCAGAAACAAGCAGCACACAAAGAGGCCCUUCACCACGUCUUGGAGUGACAGCACCGGGCACUGGAAAGGAAGCCACAGGGGAGCUGGUGCUCUGGACUCAUGUUCUGGGAACUGUGUGAGGCAGACACCUGGCUGCCCAGGGGAGCUGUGCUCUGAGCCUCACCCAGAGCGAGUCCUGCAUCCUGACAAUGACCCCUGCAGAUGACACAGCCUUACCCACGAGUAAGGCAGGAUCACUGCAGUCUGUGUGGGCCAACUGUAUGCCUCACAAAGGGAACCAAUUUGAAAUCCAUACCCCCAAAGGGAACAAAAGCCCCUAUCAUAUUGAUUUGCCAGCUCCUUCCUGGGGACACAUCCUCCACUAACCAUGAACCUCUACACCAGACUCCCAUACCCUGCCCAUCCAGGGAAACACUCAAGGGUGCUGUGCACCUCGUCUGACCAGAACUCUGACCUCUUAGUUCUCACAGGUCCUAAAGACAAAUGGGCUUCGGCCUGAUCUCACGGUCAGUAUCCCUGAACCUCAGCCAUGCUCCUGUUCAACAUGGCCCUGAGAUGUGCUGGGAAGAGGAGACACACCUUCGUGAGCAGCUGGCUCAGGCACAGGAAGGCAGGGGUCACAACUGGGUGCCGGAAGUCAGAGGUCGGAAACAACAUCCCAGCAAUCUUCAAAUAAAUGAGCUGGAGAGAGAGUGUUGCCACAGAUUACAGAAGGAAAUGAAGCUCAACUAAAGCACACUCUUACAAGGGGCCCAGGAGCAGAGCUGGUUUAAAGUCCUGGUGAAACAGCCAGCGUCAGUGGGCACCGUGCUCCCCCUCACCUAGGUCUUCUGAAAACAUCACCCAGAGAAAGCAUGUGAACUGCUGAGCAUGACAAGGUUCUUUAGAACAGACAGUUAUUUUCAGUAGGUCCAAUCCCAGAGCAGCAGCUUCCACAAGGAGCCUGCCACCAGCAGCAGAUGGGGGUACUUAGGGGCAGCUGCCAGGGACCCACGUUAGAGCUGGAGGAGUCUGAAGUGGCCUUUCAUACAGCAGGAGGGAACCUUCCACCCACACUGGUGAAGAUGCCUCCUCCCUGGCCCAAGGUACCAGUUCAUUCAUUGGUUUGUUUUCAUUACAAAAACAUACAACAGUUCUGGGUGACAUGCAGCCUCUAAAACCAGCACUUCCGGGAAGCUGGCGAGACUCCAUUUCCCAUCUUGGGUGGUUGCAAGGGCAACGAGCCCAGCAGCAGCAUAUCAGAGGGGCCGCAUCACCUCUGCAGGGUGGCUCAGGACAAGGCUCCAGGAAACAGAGGCCAGCACUGCCCAGCCCACUGUAGCCUCAGGCCAGGGCCUGUCACAGGUGUGGUGAGGAUUCCACUGGUUAGGAAGGGGAGCUCUCUCAUGCUGAAACCUUGAUAUCUCCACCAGUUACCGUAAUGUGAAAGCUAGAGUAAAAGGCCACAUCCCCGAGGAAGAGGGAUACCUGCCAUCUCCAGGACAGGAAGCUGCCUCAACUGAAUUUCCCCAGGGCCAUGUCAACACUCAUCCAUGUAGCUGUUCUCUUUAAUGAUGGCAGCCAGUUAUGCUCGCAGGACACCUAUGUGUAAGUCAGAUGUGGGGGGCGACAGGUGACACUGACAUGAGCCACGGAGAAGGGUGGCUGGCAGAUUAACUGCCCUGUCUGGACUCUGCAGCAUCUCAAGAAUGCCCUGCUUGACCAGGGUCACCAAGACAUCCCCCAAAGUACCCACAACGGUGUGGCUCUGACCCAUGUGAAUUUAAAAAUAGCAGACACAUGCCAGCAGGCUCCAUUUCCUCCUUUCUGGUGGUGACAGGGACUCUGCAGUAUUACUGCAGAGCUGUAAGAGGGUGUUCCAAAAGACCUCCAUGUCCUACCUUAAUUUGGGGGUUCUAAGGAAAAUGAGGCCCAGGGAGAGGCCUGAAGGGAGCUCUUGCCAGUGUCCCGCAUCCUGCCCCAGACAAUUGGACUCAGGGUACUAGCCACUGAGCCACAUGCCCUUUCCUAUUUCAUUUGGAAACAGGGUCUCACUGUUUCCUAAGCUCCUUGAACCCGAGACCUUCCUGCCUCCACCUCGUGAGCUGCUAAGAUUGAGAGUGUCUGCCACCGCAACCCUGCAUUUCUUCUUCAAAGAUACUAAGUGUUACAUAAGGCUGUUACAAAUAGUCAGGGGUCUCUAGGAAAACACAAUGCUUCUGUGAGUCUUAAAGCAUCUUUGCCAUUAAGACUAGAUACAGCCAGGCACAGCAGCACACAACCUGUAAUCCCAAUGAAUUAGGAGACUGAGGCAGGAGGCUCACAUGUCUGAGGCCAGCCUCAGCAACUUAGACCCUGUUUCAAGAUAAAAAUUAAAAAGGGCUGGGGAUGUAGUUCAAUGGUAAAAUUCCUGAGUUAAAUCCCUAGUACCCACCCCACCAAAAAAAGAAAAAAAGUCAGAUAUAGCCCCGUCCACAUGGAAUCAAACCAGAAUCUCUAUCAGCGACUUCAGUUAACUUCCAGUGGACGACUGCCCUCUCAGGUCUGUUGCAGUCCUCUCCCCACCAGUUUGGAAGCUCCAGGGCACAACCAGCCUCUCAAUGCAAAGACACAUGCACCCUCCCGGUCCUGUGUGAUGCCACCUGAACCUGAUUCUCAUGGCUCAGGACCAUGCCCGCAGACCCUGCAUCGCUUACCACAUCCAACCCUGGGAACACUGCACGGCCCUUGGUCUCAAUCAUUUCUUCCAUCUCAUGCAUGGCAUCUCGAAGAACAAAUUUUAUGGAAUUGCUUGCAGACUCAGGAAACAUCUGGCAAAGAUUAUAUAACUGCCUAUGAAGCAGAAAUUCAAGUCAGGAGAGGACUCUGGACAACAAAACACACAAAACUCCUGGAAACUCGUUCUGUGUAGUCACCUGCUAAUUGUGCAAGUCAGAAAGGGAAGCCUCUGGAUGAACCCUUUGAACUCGCUGGCAACCCUCACACGCCAAGGGCGUGACCUCCAUGCAAUGCCCCAGUCUGAGUGACUCACUCUUUUCCUACUGUUGUCUGCUGAGCUUCCUGAUGACCCAGGAGUCUGCCCUUGCGCUCUCGGUGGCUUCCCGCUUUCCUCCUCACUCUCUGCAUUCGAGUCCAGGUCUGAAUGGCUGUCCGGGUUCCCGCUCUCCCCUUCGGCCUCCUCCUCGUCGCUCUCCCCUUCGGCCUCCUCCUCGUCGCUCUCCCCUUCGCCUUCCUCGUCGCUCCCUUGGAUGCCAGCUUUCCCGCUUAGUUCUUUGUGGACAUCCUCCUCAAUGUUCAUCUUUCCAUCCUAGAAAGGGACCAGAGACCAGGAGCAUCACCGUGCAAAGCACAGAUUACACAACAGGAAAGAAAAUGAAGCCAAAUAUCUUACUUUGUAAGAAAGCAGGCGCCUGUCAUCUUUGUCCAGCACAAAGCCGUCAUUUAAAUCAUCCGCUGACGUGUGGUUUGGAUUCUUCAUACUUUCAUCCUCCUCCUUUCCAAGCAUUCUUCGAAGUCUCUCAGCCUGACAGGAAGGAAAAAGAGAAGCCACAUGGUGUGAGCAAACACAUGAAAAGAGAGUGUGUGUCCAGCUCCGUACCACAGGGCCUCCAGCCUGCCUUCUGCCAUCUUCACUCAGAGAAGAGAGCUCUGGGUGUUAAGUGGGAGACUUCCAUAUUUAUCAGACUAUUCAAUCUUGGUAAAUACUUUCCAACCAUAAGGAAGGAAAACCUAUUCCUCUAAGAUCUGACCCUAAUGGAGCUCCACGGACUUUCUCUUUGCAACACAACCUGUGUUACAUUAAAAUGGCCAAGUGUAGAA